GCGUGAUACCGCCCCGCCCGCUCGCCGCCAGCCCACUCUACAGUAGCCGCGCGGCCAGGGUAACCGCGGGCUCGCGUGGGUGCUGCUGGCUACCUGUACAACUUCGUGCUCCGGCGUCACCAGCUAGCUAAAUCCUCGCAACGGUUCUGGGCGAUAGGGGCCGUUUUUGUCCCCCUUCUUCAGCAGAUGAGGGAAUUUGUUUCAAAAAGUUGUUACCUGCUCACGGAAACAGACGUCCUAAGCUAUUAACACAAUCUCCAGCUGUGUUCUAACCAAGACAGGAACCGAAGGGAACAGUAAAAAAUCAUUUUCCGUAAGUAAUGGGUAACUUAAGAGAUAAUGUAGUGUUUCAGAAACAGUCUUGUCCUUUUGGUGUUCAGGGACCCCCGCUAGAACUCAGCUGGCUCACGCUUGUUUACCUCCCUAGACCCAGGACCUUUUUUAUUCCCUGCCAAAAAAAAUACCUUACCUGACCGAUGUCACCCUUUGUGGCCCUCUACGUUUUUACUGUAUUGUUUAAAAAUAAAUUUGAUGGGAACAUUGCUAGAAAGGGCAAUUUACACAAGUGGAAGUGGACUUUAAAGUAUCACAAUGUUAAAAUUAGAUAUUGAUAACUACCGUGUUGUAUAAUAGAAUAUCCUUUUCCUUAAGAGAAAAACACGAGGGAUAGGGAUACACCGCAUGCUCCCUACUCUCAGAUGGUUAGGGAGUAACAUGUAUGUGUAUGUAUAUGUAGGUGGGGAAAAGAGAGGGACAAAGCAAAAUGGCGAAUGUUUAAAAGUACUGAAACUAGGUAUGGUAGUUCUAAGAUAUGUUCACAGAUUCAAUGAUAUUCCUCCCUGGAAGAGGUGGACUCUAAUUCCCCUCCCCUUGAGUGUAGACUAGGCUUAGUGACUCUUGAUAGAUCAAAACAGAAGUGACAGUAUUGACUUCAGAGGCUAGGUCAUAAAAGGCACUGCAUCUUCCUUUGCGGGUCUCUUUUUCAUUCAUUUUGGGGCUUGGAGCCUGGGGAAGCCUGCUUCCGUGUUUUCAGGACACUCAAGCAGCCUAUGGAGAGAUCCAGUUGUCCAGGAACUGUUUGUAGCCUCCUACCAAAUGCCACGGAGUGAGUCACUUUGGAAGUAGAUCCUCCAACCUUGGUCAAGCCUUUGGCUGACUACAACUUCAUGAGAGACCCAGAGGUAGGACCACCUAGCUUAGCCACUCCUGGAAUCCUGACUCAGAAACAGUGUAAGAUGAAAAGUACUUGGUGUAAGCCACUAAGCUUUGGGGUUAUUUGUUACACAGCUAUAAAUAACUAAUAUAUAGGGUAAAAGGAAAAACAGUAAAUGAAUGUAUGAGUUCUUUGUACUGUUUUUGCAACUUUUCUGUAAGUUUGAAAUUAUUUCCAAAUAAAAUGUUAAAAAGUAAA
rnacentral:lncRNA from 1 species